rnacentral:rRNA from 1 species
UACAGAGGGUGCAAGCGUUAAUCGGAAUUACUGGGCGUAAAGCGUGCGUAGACGGUUACAUAAGUCGGGUGUGAAAGCCCCGGGCUCAACCUGGGAAUUGCAUUCGAGACUGCGUAGCUAGGGUGCGGAAGAGGGAAGCGGAAUUUCCAGUGGAGCGGUGAAAUGCGUAGAGAUUGGAAAGAACACCAAUGGCGAAAGCACUUUACUGGGCUAUUACUGACACUGAGAGACGAAAGCUAGGGUAGCAAAUGGG